GAUGAACGCUGGCGGCGUGCCUAAUACAUGCAAGUCGAGCGAACAGACGAGGAGCUUGCUCCUCUGACGUUAGCGGCGGACGGGUGAGUAACACGUGGAUAACCUCCCUAUAAGACUGGGAUAACUUCGGGAAACCGGAGCUAAUACCGGAUAAUAUAUUGAACCGCAUGGUUCAAUAGUGAAAGACGGUUUUGCUGUCACUUAUAGAUGGAUCCGCGCCGCAUUAGCUAGUUGGUAAGGUAACGGCUUACCAAGGCGACGAGGCGUAGCCGAGCUGAGAGGGUGAUCGGCCACACUGGAACUGGGACAGGGUCCAGACGCCUACGGGAGGCAGCAGUAUGGAAUCUGCCGCAAUGGGCGAAAGCCUGACGGAGCAACGCCGCGUGAGUGAUGAAGGUCUUCGGAGCGUAAAACUCUGUUAUUAGGGAAGAACAAAUGUGUAAGUAACUAUGCACGUCUUGACGGUACUGAAUCAGAAAGCCACGGCUAACUACGUG
rnacentral:rRNA from 1 species